UGCUUUGCAGUUACUAGCUCUAGGACCUAAGUGGAAGUUCGGAUGGAGACGCAUCUUUGGCAGGAAGGAAGUGUCCAUCCCAGGUUUCCCAUCACCGAAGUGUCC